AGGUAAAUAUUUGUCUCCUUAUCCUUGUCAAAAACAGAUGAAUUUAGGUUGAAGAAUUCUCCUCUACUUUAUUAGGCUUAAACUGAUUUACUAAUCACCACUGUGGAGAUGGGCAAUUUAGUGGCCUCCAAAUACAAAUUGUACCAACCAAUCAGAGUUGAAUAUGCUGCUUGUGAUUUAAUACCCAGUCUGCUUAAUACUAGAAAUGAGUACUCAGCAUUUUUUUUUAUCAAUUACAAGGAAGGCAUAGAGGAAAAUUUGUGUUCUAUUUCAUGAAGGAAUUGAUACAAAUAUAUACAAGUGGUUCCUAGCUAAUUAGGAAUACAAAUCCCUAAAAUUGGGCUAUACAAUCAGCUAUACAAGAAUUACAUAAUUAAUUAGUAAUAUAUAAGUUGACUUUCCUUAACGGAAGGCAUUAUGUUAUUGUAGUUCAAAGGUUUAAUGUGGAAAGAUAGUGAUAGAGAUGUCGAACUGUAUAAACAAACUGUUGAAUUUUCUGUUCAGUUAAUUAAAUGUCGUAGCUAAAAGGCCUUUAAUGUUUUAGAUAUAGCAUUGAAGUUUCAUUCCCAAGUGGCCUGCAGGAGUAAGUGUUCAAGUGAAAUCAACGUUUUAGCAAUGAUAGUAAGAACCAAAGGAGGUCAAUUUUGCUCUAGACUAAUUUUGGGGGCUGUAAUUAUUCUCUUUACUGGCUGUAAUUAUUGUCUGAGUGUUUGCUUUUUCGCAGAUAUUUGGUAGUUUUUGUCCCUUGUUAUCUAGAAGCAUGCAUACCUGUGGUCAUAUUUUUUUGUCCCUCAUUAUCUAGAAGCAUAUAUCUUGAGAGUGUCUGGACUAUUAAAAUUUAUAGCUUCAAGUUUGAAACACAGGUUGGUUAUGAUGAAUACACAUGAAUGUGUGGAAUGUAUUAAGAGUUAAGAAUCAAUUUUAGUUGAAUUUAUUGUCGUCUGAACUGAAAAGUAAAGAUUCAAGGAAAUUCCUUUAUGUGCCAGUAAAUCUAUUUACAGACCCAUGAAAAAGAAAAAGGAAAAAAAGAGACAAAUUUACAAUGGGAAAUACCAUGGAUUUGAGCUUCCUAUAUUAGAUGACUUUUUCUUUUCCUGUUGUUUGUUGUUGAUAUGGGUAUAAUUAUUGCAAGUGCUUAUAUACACAAAUGUGCCAACUUAUAAUUUCUAAAUACUAAUGAUAAGUUAUUAGCUUUUAAGUAAUAUUCUUACUAAUCAAUGUGUUUCACUAUUACUGGUAAGUCUGCAUAUGCACAAAUUAUUUUGUCAUCUUUAGUAUUGUUUAUGCAUCUAAACCUGUAUCGUUACUCCCUGUCCCACAAAGGUUGUCUGCUAUUCCUUUUCAAGUCCCAAAAUAUAUGCCCAUUUUUCACUAGGUCAAACAAAUUUUAGAGUAGUUUUCCUAUUUUACCCUUUAUUAACCCCAUAAUAAAAUGUGAGAUUAAUUGCAAUUUUGUAUAUUUCAAGACAAACACAAAAUAAAGAGAAGGAUGCCAAUUUUUCUAUAAAAUAAUGAGUGGUAUAAAAGGAAGAAUGAAUUAAAAAAGUGAGGUGGCAUACUAUUAGUUAUGUUUUCUUAAACUGUGUGAAAAAAGAAGGUUACGAUCUUUAUGGGACGGAGGAAGUAUUUGUGAUAUAUAGUUAUAUCCAUUUGGGGUCCUUACAAGUAAUAUUGGAAUACCGUUAUAAGUCAUAUGGCAAAACUAAUAGUCAGAGUUUCGUUGUCCAGAUUGUUGAUCGGCUCCAGUGGUAUGUUCAAGAUGGUGAUAU
rnacentral:misc_RNA from 1 species